UGCUCUUGAAGAGACCAGCUACGGGUCUUUCCCAGGGCACUUGUCCCGUCGUCGGGCCGAAGGAGGAAAACCAGAGAGGUGGUGGCUUGUCCCCAGGGACCCUGCAAGGCAGAGUCUUACUACACCUACUAGUACCAGUCUCGAAUGUGAGCAUCCCUGGUUCCUUCCUGACAUUAAGAAGGACACUUCUGGGGCGCCUGGGUGGCUCAGUUGGUUGAGCGUCCGACUUCGCCUCAGGUCAUGAUCUUGUGGUUCAUGGGUUCAAGCCCCAAGUCGGGCUCUGUGCUAAUAGCUCAGAGCCUGGAGCCUGCUUUGGAUUCUGUGUCUCCCUCUCUCUCUCUCUGGCCCUCUCCUCCUCUCUCUCUCUCAAAAA